GCGGGAGCUCGCGCUCGCCAGCGCCGCGCCCGCCUCAGGGCCGCCCGCGGGGCCUUCUGCGGUGGGAAGAGGCCGCCGAGUCCUCGGCGCCUCGCAGCGGUGGAGGGGAGCCCCGCCACCGAGGUGAAGAAACUGAAGCCCAGAAAGGUGCUAGCAGCAAUAGUGCUAUGGGC
rnacentral:lncRNA from 1 species